rnacentral:rRNA from 1 species
UGGGGAAUUUUGGACAAUGGACGAAAGUCUGAACCAGCCAUGCCGCGUGGAGGAUGAAGGCCCUCUGGGUUGUAAACUUCUUUUAUAUGGGACGAAAAAGGGUCUUUCUAGAUCAACUGACGGUACCAUGUGAAUAAGCACCGGCUAACUCCGUGCCAGCAGCCGCGGUAAUACGGAGGGUGCAAGCGUUAUCCGGAUUCACUGGGUUUAAAGGGUGCGUAGGUGGGUUGGUAAGUCGGUGGUGAAAUCUCCGAGCUUAACUUGGAAACUGCCAGUGAUACUAGCAGUCUUGAAUAUUGUGGAGGUCAGCGUAAUAUGUCAUGUAGCGGUGUAAUGCGUAGAUAUGACAUAGGACACCAAUUGCGAAGGCAGCUGGCUACGCAUAUAUUGACACUGUGGCACGAGAGCGUGUGGAUCAAACA